AGUGGCGGACGGGUGAGUAAAGCAUCGGGACCUACCCAGACGUGGGGGAUAACGUAGGGAAACUUACGCUAAUACCGCAUACGUCCUACGGGAGAAAGCGGGGGACCUUCGGGCCUCGCGCGGCUGGACGGACCGAUGUGCGAUUAGCUGGUUGGCGGGGUAAUGGCCCACCAAGGCGACGAUCGCUAGCUGGUCUGAGAGGAUGAUCAGCCACACUGAAACUGAGACACGGUCCAGACUCCUACGGGAGGCAGCAGUGGGGAAUAUUGGACAAUGGGCGCAAGCCUGAUCCAGCAAUGCCGCGUGUGUGAAGAAGGCCUUCGGGUUGUAAAGCACUUUUAUCGGGAGCGAAAUACCAUUGGCUAAUAACCGGUGGGGCUGACGGUACCCGAGGAAUAAGCACCGGCUAACUUCGUGCCAGCAGCCGCGGUAAUACGAAGGGUGCAAGCGUUAAUCGGAAUUACUGGGCGUAAAGGGUGCGUAGGCGGUUUGUUAAGUCUGUCGUGAAAUCCCCGGGCUCAACCUGGGAAUGGCGAUGGAAACUGGCAGGCUAGAGUGUGUCAGAGGAUGGUGGAAUUCCCGGUGUAGCGGUGAAAUGCGUAGAGAUCGGGAGGAACAUCAGUGGCGAAGGCGGCCAUCUGGGACAACACUGACGCUGAAGCACGAAAGCGUGGGGAGCAAACAGGAUUAGAUACCCUGGUAGUCCACGCCCUAAACGAUGCGAACUGGAUGUUGGUCUCAACUCGGAGAUCAGUGUCGAAGCUAACGCGUUAAGUUCGCCGCCUGGGGAGUACGGUCGCAAGACUGAAACUCAAAGGAAUUGACGGGGGCCCGCACAAGCGGUGGAGUAUGUGGUUUAAUUCGAUGCAACGCGAAGAACCUUACCUGGCCUUGACAUGUCGCGAAUCCUGCAGAGAUGCGGGAGU
rnacentral:rRNA from 1 species